rnacentral:rRNA from 1 species
AGAGUUUGAUCAUGGCUCAGACUGAAGCUAAAGGCAGGCCUAACACAUGCAAGUCGAGCGGGGUUUUCCUUGUACCUAGCGGCGGACGGGUGAGUAAUGCGUAGGAAGCUACCCGAUAGAGGGGGAUACCAGUUGGAAACGACUGUUAAUACCGCAUAAUGUCUACGGACCAAAGUGUGGGACCUUCGGGCCACAUGCUAUCGGAUGCGCCUACGUGGGAUUAGCUAGUUGGUGAGGUAAUGGCUCACCAAGGCGACGAUCUCUAGCUGGUUUGAGAGGAUGAUCAGCCACACUGGAACUGAGACACGGUCCAGACUCCUACGGGAGGCAGCAGUGGGGAAUAUUGGACAAUGGGCGCAAGCCUGAUCCAGCCAUGCCGCGUGUGUGAAGAAGGCCUUCGGGUUGUAAGGCACUUUCAGCGAGGAGGAAGAGUUGUGUGUUAAUAGUACACAGCUUUGACGUUACUCGCAGAAGAAGCACCGGCUAACUCUGUGCCAGCAGCCGCGGUAAUACAGAGGGUGCAAGCGUUAAUCGGAAUUACUGGGCGUAAAGCGCACGUAGGCGGUUUUUUAAGUCAGAUGUGAAAGCCCCGGGCUCAACCUGGGAAUUGCAUUUGAAACUGGAAAACUAGAGUGUGUGAGAGGGGGGUAGAAUUCCAAGUGUAGCGGUGAAAUGCGUAGAGAUUUGGAGGAAUACCAGU